GGAGUUAGGAAAUGUAAGUGCGCUAAUAUCGCAUUUAUUUGACGAAGGCUCCAAAGGAAGUCACGGCUAACUCUGUGCCAGCAGCCGCGGUAAUACAGAGGUGGCAAGCGUUGUUCGGAAUUAUUGGGCGUAAAGAGCACGUAGGUGGAUUUGUAAGUCAGAUGUGAAAGCCUUCUGUUCAACGGAAGAAUUGCAUCUGAAACUACAGACCUUGAGUAUAGGAGGGGAGAGUGGAACUUCUG
rnacentral:rRNA from 1 species